CGCCUGUUUAUCAAAAACAUCGCCUUUUGCCUUUCAAUAAAAUAAAGGUACAACCUGCUCAGUGAGACAUUUCAACGGCCGCGGUACCCUGACCGUGCUAAGGUAGCAGCAAUCACUUGCCCUUUAAUUGGGGGCUAGUAUGAAUGGUCAAACGAGGGUGAACCUGUCUCAUUAAGGCCUUACCAAAAAUUAUCCUCCACGUGAAGAGACCUGGAUAUAAUAAAAAGACGAGAAGACCCUGUCAAGCUUUACACUGCCCGGGCCUAUCAAUUACUAGCCCAGCCACGUGUUUUGUUGGGGCAACACAGGAACACACGCUUCCUCACUAUAACUUCAACUUCACUAAACAAUCCGACAGCGUCGAAUAAAGACAAAGCUACUGCAGGGAUAACAGGCUAAUCUGCUUCGAGAGCCCACAUUGACAAGCAGGCUUGGCACCUCGAUGUUGGCUUAAGAACCCUUAUUGGGGCAGCCCCCAAUAGAAGGAGGUUUGUUCAACCUAUAAUUUCUUACGUGAUCUGAUUUUCCAGACCGGA
rnacentral:rRNA from 1 species